CAUAGUGCCUGAGGAGAAGGAGAAAUUGCUAAAGUGGGAUGGAUGAUGUGCAGCCAAAGUUGCCUGCAAAACCAGGCUAAGACAUUCAGAUGAAAUACAGUGGGCAUAGGCUCUACCUGGGUGAAGCAGCUGCAGCAUCUUAUCUGCCAGGUUUAAGGCCAACCAGGAAGAUUCCCUGCUUCUUUUCCCAGCAGUCUCAGAAUUGGUUCUGACUGAGUCACUUGCCUAUCCCUCGAUGAGUAACUGACCUGAUGGAUCCUAGAUCUCACAUGCUGGACCUUCAUGGCUCAAGUCAACAUCUUCCUGGAACUGUUCUGUCUGCUGAUGCUGCCCAUGAAACCAGUGUGUUGAGAGGCAGCACUAGGACAAAUACAGCUUCUGGGAAGAAGGUGCUUCUCUUCGUGCUGAACCUUUAUGUUGAUGAGCUUUGCUGUUGCACGUACCUAACUUGUCACUCCAACUCUAUAUCAAUUUCAUAUAUAUAACCAUGUCAGUAAAAAAAUGCACAACAAAUGUUACAGAAUAAAAAAGGAGAAAAGUAAUGGAUUAAUAUUUUUAUUAUGUUGGUGUAGCUUUUGAGAAGAGGAAAAACAUUUAUUUACAACAUGUUGCAGUAAUAAAUAAUUACAUUGCAGUUUUAUUCUCUUGAUUAAUUCUUUAGUUCAAAAACAACUAAAAGAAAAAGAUGAAUUUCAAUUGAAAAAUAUUAUUUAAAUUAAAUACAGAUGAUGUAAAAAUUGCACUCACCAAGCAAAAAAUAUUGCACUGUGCGGUUUUCACUGCUUUAAACUUUAAAUGCAGAUAAAGCUUCCAGUGGUCAUACAGGAUGUCUGA